rnacentral:rRNA from 1 species
UACGUAGGGAGCAAGCGUUGUCCGGAAUCAUUGGGCGUAAAGCGCGCGUAGGUGGUCCCGUAAGUCCGCUGUGAAAGUCAAAGGCUCAACCUUUGAAAGCCGGUGGAUACUGUGGGACUAGAGUACGGAAGAGGCGAGUGGAAUUCCUGGUGUAGCGGUGGAAUGCGCAGAUAUCAGGAGGAACACCAAUAGCGAAGGCAGCUCGCUGGGACGGUACUGACGCUAAGGCGCGAAAGCGUGGGGAGCGAACAGG